AUGCAGGACGUGGGCCCCUGCGGCUGCCAGCUCAAGAGGAAGGGCAGGAGCCCGUCUGCCGUCUGCUCACACGGGGGGCACUCUGGCCUCCACACACCAGCCUGCAGUCACUGGUCUCAGGCAGUCCUUAUACAGCUCCUGGGGCCUCCCAUUCUCGCUGGUCCUGAGCCACUCCUCUGGCCCACAGGACUGGGGAGAAGACAGCAGGAGAACCACACACGUCCUUCUGCAACAAGGGGCAGAAAACGGUACAAACAUCCCCAUCCUCUGGGAGCUAAGGGUCCAGGUGAGCACCAGCCUUCAAGGAUCUCUGGAAGGCGCUGGGGUUUUGGGAGGUGGGAUGGGCACAGAGACCUGAAAGCCAGGGAGCAGGUCAGGGUGCCAGGGAUGGGCAUGCCCGAGCAAGGUGGCAACACAGGCCAAGGAUCAGGGGCCAGGCCUCCCGUGGGAGACUGUCGCCUAGGGCGCAGACCUCUACACAGUGCGUUCCUUCUGUCCCUCCAGCAGACUGACUGCCCUGGGGGAUGUGCUUUUGGGGGCAUAGUGGGAAGGGGGCACAAGGAUGGAGAGAUACCCAGAGACAGACAGACAGGAAAGAGAGACCAGGAGGACAAAGGCCAGGCAGGGCAGAGGGCAGAGGCCAACAGCUGUGUGCUGAGCAGAGCAAGGCAGAAACCAUCCCAGCCCCAUCCUGGUCCCGGGCUGCCGGGGAAGUCAAUAAUCUGAUGUCAUUUUCCAGGGUCUCAGCCUCUGGCUCCAGGGGGCUUGGGCUCUCGACUUGCGACUUGUAGCAGCCAACUCUCCCUCCAGCAGAGAACAGGGGAGGCGGCCCCUGAAUUCAGGCCUCACUCUAAGCACUGCCCCAGGGUCCCCACUGGCCCCCCAGGCACAGGUGGCCCUGG
rnacentral:lncRNA from 1 species